GAAAGUAAAUAAGAGCGUAUGGGGAAUGCCUAGGCUCUCAGAGGCGAAGAAGGACGUGCCAAGCUGCGAAAAGCUCCGGGGAUCUGCUGAGAAGAUUUGAUCCGGAGAUGUCCGAAUGGGGAAACCCUCUUAGUUGAAGACUAAGAAUCCGAAAGGAGGCGAACCCAGGGAACUGAAACAUCUAAGUACCUGGAGGAGGAGAAAACAAAAGUGAUUCCGCAAGUAGUGGCGAGCGAACGCGGAUUAGCCCAAACCCAAACGGUUACGGCUGUUUGGGGGUUGUAGGACCAUGUUGUGGUAUGCGUAAAUGAACUUGAAUUACCUGGGAAGGUAAGCCCUAGAAGGUGAAAGCCCUGUAUGGAUAAGUUUGCGUGGCCUAAUGGUAUCCUGAGUAAGGCGGGGUCGGAGACGCCCCGUUUGAAUCUAGCAGCACCAUCUGCUAAGGCUAAAUACUACUGAGAGACCGAUAGUGAACUAGUACUGUGAAGGAAAGGUGAAAAGAACCGUGAAUAACGGAGUGAAAUAGAACCUGAAACCAUACGCUUACAAGCGGUCGGAGCCAUUUUUGUGGUGACGGCGUGCCUUUUGCAUAAUGAGCCUACGAGUUGCUCCUCUUUGGCGAGGUUAAGAAUAUUGAUAUUCGGAGCCGGAGCGAAAGCGAGUCUGAAAAGGGCGUAUAGUCAGAGGGGGCAGACGCGAAACUUUGUGAUCUACCCAUGGCCAGGAUGAAGUAGUGGUAACACACUAUGGAGGUCCGAACUGGUAAGCGUUGAAAAGCUUUCGGAUGAGCUGUGGGUAGGGGUGAAAGGCUAAUCAAACUGAGAAAUAGCUCGUACUCCCCGAAAUGCCUUUAGGGGCAGCGUCGUGGUUGAGUUUUAAAGAGGUAGAGCUACCAAUUGGACUAGGGGGAGUCAAAUCCUACCAAAUCCAGAUGAACUCCGAAUGCUUUAAAAUAUACACGGCAGUGAGGGCUGGGGUGCUAAGGUCCCGGUCCGAGAGGGAAAGAACCCAGACCAACAGCUAAGGUCCCAAAAUCUAGACUAAGUUGAACUAAGGAAGUUCAGUUGCAGAGACAGCCAGGAUGUUUGCUUGGAAGCAGCAAUUCAUUUAAAGAGUGCGUAACAGCUCACUGGUCGAGCGACAGGGCAUCGAUAAUAAACGGGCAUCAAGUCUAGUACCGAAGCUUUGGAUUAUAGUAAUAUACUGGUAGGGGAGCAUUCUAGUCAGCGGUGAAGGUAUCUUGUAAGAGGUGCUGGAGCGACUAGAAAAGCAAAUGUAGGCAUAAGUAACGAUAAUGCAUGCGAGAAACAUGCACACCGAUAGACUAAGGUUUCCUGAACAACGUUAAUCGGAUCAGGGUUAGUCGGGGCCUAAGGCGUAGUCGAAGGGCGAAGUCGAUGGACAAUUGGUUAAUAUUCCAAUACCUGCUUUAUUGAGUGAUGGAGAGACGGAGUAGUGAAAGAUCUGCGCACUGACGGAAUAGUGCGUUGAAACCCGUAGGUAUAUUUUUGGUAGGUAAAUCCGCUGAGAAUGCUGAAAGGUGAUAGUACAGAGCGGCUUCGGCCAAUUUGAUAAUGAUCCUAAUCAGACUCCCGAGAAAAUCUUCUAAGCGUUUACAAUGAAGCAGCCCGUACCGCAAACCGACACAGGUAGUCAAGAAGAAGAUUCUAAGGUGCUCGAGUGAGUCACGGCUAAGGAACUCGGCAAAUUAAUCCUGUAACUUCGGGAAAAGGGAUGCCUCCUCAGCAAUGAGAGGUCGCAGAGAAAUGGCCCAGGCGACUGUUUAACAAAAACACAUGGCUAUGCGAAAUCGUAAGAUGAUGUAUAUGGCCUGACACCUGCCCGGUGCUGGAAGGUUAAGAGGGGAUGUUAGUCGCAAGGCGAAGCAUUGAAUCGAAGCCCCAGUAAACGGCGGCCGUAACUAUAACGGUCCUAAGGUAGCGAAAUUCCUUGUCGGGUAAGUUCCGACCUGCACGAAUGGUGUAACGAUCUGGGCACUGUCUCAGCCGUGAGCUCGGUGAAAUUGUAGUAGCGGUGAAGAUGCCGCUUACCCGCAACGGGACGGAAAGACCCCGUGCACCUUUACUAUAGCUUUACAUUGACUUUGGGUAAAUGAUGUGUAGGAUAGGUGGGAGACUUUGAACCGGUGCCGCCAGGUAUCGGGGAGUCAACGUUGAAAUACCACCCUUUAUUUAUCUGGAGUCUAACCCCGCAAAGCGGGGAACAUUGUAUGGUGGGUAGUUUGACUGGGGUGGUCGCCUCCAAAAGAGUAACGGAGGCUUUCAAAGGUACCCUCAGCACGCUUGGUAACCGUGCGCAGAGUGCAAUAGCAUAAGGGUGCUUGACUGUGAGACCUACAAGUCGAUCAGGUACGAAAGUAGGAUAUAGUGAUCCGGUGGUUCCGCAUGGAAGGGCCAUCGCUCAAAGGAUAAAAGGUACGCCGGGGAUAACAGGCUGAUCUCCCCCAAGAGCUCAUAUCGACGGGGAGGUUUGGCACCUCGAUGUCGGCUCGUCACAUCCUGGGGCUGGAGAAGGUCCCAAGGGUUGAGCUGUUCGCUCAUUAAAGUGGCACGCGAGCUGGGUUCAGAACGUCGUGAGACAGUUCGGUCCCUAUCUGUUGUGGGCGUUAGAAAUUUGAGAGGGCCUGACCUUAGUACGAGAGGACCGGGUUGGACAAGCCUCUGGUAUGUCUGUUGUGCCGCCAGGUGCAGCGCAGAGUAGCCAAGCUUGGUAGAGAUAAGCGCUGAAAGCAUCUAAGUGCGAAACUCGCCUCAAGAUGAGAUUUCUUUAUAAGGGCCGUCAGAGACUAUGACGUUGAUAGGCUGCAGGUGUAAAGACAGAAAUGUCAAAGCUGAGCAGUACUAAUUACCCGUAGCUUUCCAUGU
rnacentral:rRNA from 1 species